rnacentral:misc_RNA from 1 species
GAUGAAGAACGUAGCGAAAUGCGAUAAGUAGUGUGAAUUGCAGAAUUCAGUGAAUCAUCGAAUCUUUGAACGCACAUUGCGCCCCUUGGUAUUCCAUGGGGCAUGCCUGUUCGAGCGUCAUUUCAACCCUCAAGCCCUGCUUGGUGUUGGGCGUUUGUCCUGCCUCCGCGCGGGACUCGCCUCAAAGACAUUGGCGGCCGGUUUCCCUUUGCAGGCCACGAGCGCAGCACAGCGAGCGCUCUACGUGGACGCGGGGCCGGCGCACCAGAAGCCCUCUUUCUCGAAUUUUGACCUCGGAUCAGGUAGGGAUACCCGCUGAACUUAAGCAUAUCAAUAAGCGGAGGA